CGCACGGGUGAGUAACACGUAUGCAAUCCACCUGUAACAGGGGGAUAACCCGGAGAAAUCCGGACUAAUACCCCAUAAUAUGGGCGCUCCGCAUGGAGAGUUCAUUAAAGAGAGCAAUUUUGGUUACAGACGAGCAUGCGCUCCAUUAGCCAGUUGGCGGGGUAACGGCCCACCAAGGCGACGAUGGAUAGGGGUUCUGAGAGGAAGGUCCCCCACAUUGGAACUGAGACACGGUCCAA
rnacentral:rRNA from 1 species